rnacentral:rRNA from 1 species
UACGAAGGGUGCAAACGUUGCUCGGAAUCACUGGGCGUAAAGGGCGUGUAGGCGGGAAGGAAAGUCAGAUGUGAAAUCCCCAGGCUCAACCUGGGAACUGCAUUUGAAACUCCCUUUCUUGAGUACCGGAGAGGAAAGUGGAAUUCCUGGUGUAGAGGUGAAAUUCGUAGAUAUCAGGAAGAACACCAGUGGCGAAGGCGGCUUUCUGGACGGUAACUGACGCUGAGACGCGAAAGCGUGGGGAGCAAACAGG